UCUGUUAAUACUCCUCCUCAAGUUGGAGCAUGGAGAUCCGUAAUGCCCAACUUGCGAGUGAAAUGGUGAAAUAAGUCAUUUUCAAGAGCCUUAGUAAGAAUGUCAGCUAACUAUAGCUUGGAUGAGACAUGCGUAGGGAGAUGAACCCAGACAAAUAUUUUUCACGCACAAAGUGGCAAUCAAGUUCAAUGUGUUUGGUGCGUUCAUGGAAAAUAGGAUUUUGUGUGAUAUGAAAAGCAACCUCAUUGUCGCAGCAGAGUAGAAUAUGCUGCGGAUGGAGAACAACAAGAUCAUGCAAAAGAGAUUUGAGCUAGACGAGUUCACAUGUAGUCAUAGCCAUUGCAUGGUAUUCAGCUUCGGUGGAAGAUUGAGAAACAAUAGUCUGUUUCUUUGUGCUCCACGAGAUAGGGCUAUUUCCAAGAGUAAUGAAGAAACUAGUAGUGGUACGACGAGUGGUGGGACAACUUGCCCAGUCGACGUCUGAGUAUGCAGAAAGUUGAAAAUUACACUGAGCUAAAUAGAAUAGACCAUGUCUUGGAGGGCCUUUUAGGUAACGUAGAACAUGAAAGACUGCAGUAAGGUGUGAGUCCCGAGGGUUCUGCAUGAACUGACUUAGCAUAUUAACAAAGAAGGAAAUGUCUGGCCGAGUAAUGGUGAGGUACAAGAGCCGACCAACUAGGCGUCGGUAUGAACUCGGGUCUGGGAGUAUAGUGCCAUCAUCAGGAUUGAGUUUCAAAUUCUGAUCCAUGGGACAAGUAGUUGGUCGAGAACCCAAGUUACCAGAUUCAGCAAGAAUGUCUAGUGUAUAUUUGCGUUGGUUGACGAAAAUACCAAGAUGUGAUGGGGCGAUCUCGAGGCUAAGAAAGUACUUCAUGGUGCCUAAAUCCUUGAUUUUGAACUUGUGAUUAGGGUUGGGCAAAACCCAAACCAACCCAUGAAAACCACCUGACCCGACCCAAACCAACCAAUUUGGGUCGAUUUUUUGGUGUUUUUAGGUGGGUUUCGGGUUUAGAGUUGUGUUGUUGGGUCGGGUUAUGGGUUACCCAAUGAAACCCGAUAAAACCCAAACUGACCCAACCCGCUAACAUUAAAAAUUGAAAAAAAAAAAUGACAAAACAAAAAAUGAAAAAAAGCUCUAAAAUUUUCAAUUGGUCCAUCUUUUCUUGCAACCACUCCCAUCAACAGCCAACAAGAAGGCAAAAGCCUUAAUCUCUCGUCUCUCCCGUCAUUUUCUCUCAAAACCCAAUGACGAUUCGACGAACUUCGUCUCUCAAAACCCAACGUCGAAGUCGAACGUUCACACUCCUGCUUCAGUGGUAGUCUAAUAAAGUAUGUAUACUUCGUUAUUUUAUAUUCGUAUUUUCUUUUUUUUCUUUUUUUCUUUUUUUGUUAUAAAUGCAGAAACUGCAAAUCUGCAAUCUGCAAUAAACUUCAGAAAUUAAGAAUUGCUUGACCAUUCUCAAUUUUGGGUGUGUUUUGAUCGACUAAAAGGUAAUAUAUCUAUGCAUUCGCAAGUCCCUUGUACAAAAUAGGGAAAGGCUCUUCCCUGUAUUCUUUAUGGAUACCCUUUUUUUAUUGAGUGGGUUGCUUUGAAUUGGAAUCCUGGAUGUGAAGAGAUGCUGUUUCUGGAUAUUAGGUGUCAUGCCGAAUCUGAUUAGAAAAUUUAUGGUUUACAAAUAUGGAUUUAAGCUCGUGAAUUUUAGGGGCCUUUUGAUUUUAUUGAGGUUGUCAGUAGUUAAUUCCUGAAGGCUGUACUGGAGAUGAAGUUAAACUAAUAACUAGUGGAG
rnacentral:lncRNA from 1 species